AAAAAUGAGAUAUUAUUACUUACAAUAAUAAUUACCUUAAAGGCAUUUUUA
rnacentral:tRNA from 1 species